ensembl:snRNA U6 U6 spliceosomal RNA
GUGCUCACUUUGGCAGCACAUAUAUUAAAAUUGGAACAAUACAGAGAUUAGCAUGGUCCCUGCAUAGGGAUGACACACAUAUUCGUGAAGCGUUCCAUAUUUUC